CUCACCUUGGGAUGUUGUUAAAAUGCAGAUUCUGAUUCAGCAGAUCUGGAGUAGGGCCUGAGACUCUGCAUUUCUAACAAGCUCCCUGGUGAUACCUA
rnacentral:pre_miRNA from 1 species